rfam:Leptotrichia sp. oral taxon 847, complete genome.
UCAUACUAGCUGGGGAGAUAGCGGUGCCCUGUAUCUACAAUCCGCUUUAGUAGAGGUGAUGUCAAAUUUGAGGAAAAUUUUAGUGUCAACGCCUUAUUUUAAAAAUGUUGAGAAAACAGUCCUAUAUUGUAGAAAGCUUACGAAUCGUGUCAGGUCGGGAACGAAGCAGCACUAAGUUAGUUUUUCUAGGUUUAUGGGGUAGCUGUUUUUGAGUUUUUAUCUUAAGAAACGGAUGGUAAAAUUUUUUCGAUUGUUUGGCGUAUGA